rnacentral:rRNA from 1 species
GGAAUUUUGGACAAUGGGCGCAAGCCUGAUCCAGCAAUGCCGCGUGAGUGAAGAAGGCCUUCGGGUUGUAAAGCUCUUUUGUCAGGGAAGAAACGGUGCUUUCUAAUACAGAGCGCUAAUGACGGUACCUGAAGAAUAAGCACCGGCUAACUACGUGCCAGCAGCCGCGGUAAUACGUAGGGUGCAAGCGUUAAUCGGAAUUACUGGGCGUAAAGCGUGCGCAGGCGGUUUUGUAAGACUGUCGUGAAAUCCCCGGGCUCAACCUGGGAAUGGCGAUGGUGACUGCAAGGCUAGAGUUUGGCAGAGGGGGGUAGAAUUCCACGUGUAGCAGUGAAAUGCGUAGAUAUGUGGAGGAACACCGAUGGCGAAGGCAGCCCCCUGGGUCAAAACUGACGCUCAUGCACGAAAGCGUGGGGAGCAAACAGGAUUAGAUACCCUAG